AGGAAAAGGUCCAGAACUUCUGGAUGUGACUAAGCGAGUCAGUGUAAGAUACUCAAAUACUCUUGGGAUGAUCAGCGUGAAAGUUUUGUGCUGGGGAGCUCCACAAGGUUUGGGCCAAAGAUUUUGGAAUUGCUGUCACUCCUUGCCUGUCCCCACUCUAUCGGCCGCCUUCAUGUGGUUCCGUACAAAGGAUCCAACAUCCACCUCCUGCCACUGCCUGCCCAGAGUAAAACCAGGCCCAGCUCCUCUCACUGACUCUUCAGGCACGCUCAGGAGCUAAAACCUGUCAUCUCCUGUCCCCAGAUCUGACAGAAAGCAGGUGCCUGCCUAAUUCUGCCUCCCUGUGGGCCCCAGCUGCAGCAUCCUUCGCUGCUCACAGCCAGCACGCGGCUCCUCUAAACAACAGAUAACACUCCGUGCCAUGGUGAGGCCUCCCUUCCCUCGAAGCAAGCACAAAGAUUCAAAAAGUGUUUAAAGUCUCCAGGAAGCCACACCAGAGUCUUUCUGAGCCAUGACCUAAGUGGCAGGGAGGAGAGGGCAUUGCAAGUAGUUACAAAGAAGAUAUAAAGGGAACAACAACUGUGCAAUGGAGAGCUUUGGGGAGUUGCAGCAACUCUUAGGAGCACAGAUCAGAACAGAUACUUAAGAGUGUUUGCACAACAGAUGAACAAGAGACUCUUGAGGAGUAAAACAAGCAAGAGAGCAGAACAGUCAGCCACGUUCAAUACACAUCAGUCCCUGGAAAAAUAAAUGUUUGUACAAAGCUGCACAA